UUAGCACGACAAGUAACAAUAUUUCUGUUUCAUGAGUGCCUUUCACCUGUUCCAACUAAAGAAAAAGCAGUAUUUUCCACCACAAGCUGAUUCCAAAAUCAUGUGCAUGUGGGAAUCACCAGAAAAACAGCCAUCAGACCGGAGAGGAGUCGAUGAAAAUCAAACUGCUUCAGGUAGUCUGUUGCUCUUUUGUUUGAUAUCCCCU